rnacentral:rRNA from 1 species
AGACCCGAAACCCGGUGAUCUAGCCAUGGGCAGGUUGAAGGUUGGGUAACACUAACUGGAGGACCGAACCGACUAAUGUUGAAAAAUUAGCGGAUGACCUGUGGCUGGGGGUGAAAGGCCAAUCAAACCGGGAGAUAGCUGGUUCUCCCCGAAAGCUAUUUAGGUAGCGCCUCGUGAAUUCAUCUCCGGGGGUAGAGCACUGUUUCGGCUAGGGGGCCAUCCCGGCUUACCAACCCGAUGCAAACUGCGAAUACCGGAGAAUGUUAUCACGGGAGACACACGGCGGGUGCUAACGUCCGUCGUGAAGAGGGAAACAACCCAGACCGCCAGCUAAGGUCCCAAAGUCAUGGUUAAGUGGGAAACGAUGUGGGAAGGCCCAGACAGCCAGGAUGUUGGCUUAGAAGCAGCCAUCAUUUAAAGAAAGCGUAAUAGCUCACUGGUCGAGUCGGCCUGCGCGGAAGAUGUAACGGGGCUAAACCAUGCACCGAAGCUGCGGCAGCGACACUCAGGUGUUGUUGGGUAGGGGAGCGUUCUGUAAGUCUGCGAAGGUGGCCUGUGAGGGUUGCUGGAGGUAUCAGAAGUGCGAAUGCUGACAUAAGUAACGAUAAAGCGGGUGAAAAGCCCGCUCGCCGGAAGACCAAGGGUUCCUGUCCAACGUUAAUCGGGGCAGGGUGA